rnacentral:lncRNA from 1 species
ACAGAAGGUCGGGAGCUGAAACUGAGUUUUUAUCUGUAGAUAUCGACACUUUCGUCAGUUAACUUAAACAUGGUACUUGUCAGAAACAUCUCAGCAAGUUUAUAGCCGUCAUAUGCAGUGAUUUACAGAGAAACACAAGCUUGCACAACAGAUCCAACCAAAACAAAGUAGCACAAACUUGAUCAUGGCAAGAACUGAAAUAAGCGCUGUUGUUAUUUCUCCAGAUCAUGAAUCAGUGUGAUCCCACACAAGUUACAAGAGGACAGAGCACAAACAGCUAACUACAGAGCGCCAUCGAUCUCAUCCACCAAAGAAGACACAGGGACAGCCGAAUUAGGCGGAGGUGUGACGGCCAUGGUGCCCUCGGAAAGCAUCUAACUCCAGCCUGGAAAGCAGCAAAUACUCGUAAUAACCCUGCAAGAAAACAUUGAUCUUGAGACCACAUAAAAAAAAGCCAAAAAUGGCAACAUCAUCAGCACACACAUCUACAAAUUGGAAACUGCACAGCUCACAUUAAGCCCCAGCAAAAUACAUGGGAUUUCUUAUUGUAUAUAUCCUGGCCCAAACACACAUAAUUCAAUGUCUAUUCUUGUGUAAAAGAAUUCUGUAUGUGAUAAAUUCUACUAUAAUAUUUACUGUUUAGUGUGUAGGAAGUCAACUGAUGACUGAAAUGAGCAGCUAUAUACAACAAAUAGACCACAGCUGUUGUAGAGCUAGGAUUCAUCUGUGCAGAUAUAUAAGCAAUUGUCAACAAUGCUCCCAGGUAAACGCCAUUCAAUCUUUUGUUAUAAUAAAAGUUCACGUAUGAUUAAGCCCAAACAGACGAGGUUGUGAUCCUUUUACUCCUAUCUAACUAGAGACAAGCACCGAACACGCAAACAAGCCAUCACCAGAAAAUAAAUGAUGAUGUAGCAAUAACAACAAAUAGAUCACAGCUGUUCUAGAGUUAGGAUUCAUAUGUGCAGAUGUAAGCAAUGUUGAACGAUACUUGCAGAUGAAGGGCAUUCUUGCUGUUGAAGUUUGCAGGCGAUUAGCCGCAAACAGACAAGUUUGCAGGCGAUUGUUGCAGCCAUAAUCACUUCAUGUAGUGACUAGUGUCUACCCAACCAGCUUCAGGUUUUAGUAACUGGACCCCAGAAGAGAGGAGCUGGCAGUCUUCAGUGGAAAAAAGGAGAGCAUUUGUUGCUCUGUUUUUCCUCUGCUUCUGUUAGGCCAUUGCUGAAAUGAUAACAUAUAAAUGCUGACGAUCAUUGCCCCUCCCAGAUUCCUAUUUAUACAAGUAUGUUGGGAAAAUACUUCGCCAACUGUCACUACUCCCUUGGAGCUAGCAGCCUAACAUCAGAGGAGCAUAGACGGCCUCUAUGAACUGAAACAGUGCAUGCAAAAACAGAAGAGGAGCUAGCAGCCUAACAUCAUACCAUCACCAUCACUAAUUAACAAUCUACACCACACUGCCUCUAGUAUGCAGCGCGAAUCACCAACUGAUGCUACUGUUACAACCCACUCGUCUAUUAUCACAAAUGUCACAGUUGUACCAGAACUUUCAGCUGAAACAACAAAAAGAAUGUUUCAGAAGAUAAAAGAGAGGCAUCACUCGAGGUGUUAAGAAAGACAAAUUAAACAAAAGCAUAAUUGUCUCAGCCACGCGGCCUAGCACUACAAUUAACUGAAGAACAUAUCUGAUGGUGUAAUAUCUAAUCAACCAACUAGAAUGACUAUGAAUGGUUCAUAUAACUUUACUUCGUCCUUGACAACAAACAAACUGCUAAGUUUCGACGGCUAGGUGGUUUACAAUCUGCCAAUUUAUCCUCAGUACUCAAAUUUAUGGCAAUCUGGACGGCUAGGGUUCGGGUAGAAGAGGAGCUAGAAGAGGCGGACGUUCUUGGCAAGCUAGCUGGGUAGGGUUAGGGUCCAUGUGGAGCUGGGGUAGGAGACUCCGUUCUUGGCGUGCUCGCCGGUGAGGACGAGGCGGACGGAGGGCGUGCGGGAGGUGGCAGCCAUGGAGAGGAGGGGGGAGGGGAGGGGAGGGGCUGCGAUGACUAACCACCGGUGAGAAGUCCAGUAUGCCGGAGGAGAUCACCGGCGUCGAGGCGUCGGGUGGCGCGGCGACUUGGGGAGGAGGCAGCGCGGCGUCUUGGGGAGGAGGCGGCGCAGCGUCGGCGGCGGCGUCUCGAGUCGAGAGCAGCCAAAUCCUCGAGGGGGGCCUCGAUGAUUCUGAACCGCGUGGGAACAUGUGGGUCGAAAGGGAAUCGAAGGGAUUGGGC